UGAUUAAGCCAUGCAAGUCGAGAGGGUUCGGCCCUCGGCGUACUGCUCAGUAACACGUGGAUAACCUGCCCUAAGGAAGGGGAUACCCCCGGGAAACUGGGUAUAAUACCCUAUAGAUUACAGAUGCUGGAAUGCCCUGUAAUCGAAAGUUCCGACGCCUUAGGAUGGAUCUGCGGCCGAUUAGGUUGUUGUCGGGGUAACGGCCCAACAAGCCAGUGAUCGGUACGGGUUGUGGGAGCAAGAGCCCGGAGUUGGAUUCUGAGACACGAAUCCAGGCCCUACGGGGCGCAGCAGGCGCGAAAACUUUACAAUGCGGGCAACCGUGAUAAGGGAACCUCGAGUGCCUGUAUAUGCAGGCUGUCCAGGUGUCUAAAACACACCUGAAGAAAGGGCCGGGCAAGACCGGUGCCAGCCGCCGCGGUAAUACCGGCGGCUCGAGUGGUGGCCACUUUUAUUGGGCUUAAAGCGUUCGUAGCUGGGUCGUUAAGUCUCUUGGGAAAUCCGGCAGCUCAACUGUCGGGCGUCUAAGAGAUACUGGCGAUCUUGGAACCGGGAGAGGUGAGGGGUACUUCGGGGGUAGGAGUGAAAUCCUGUAAUCCUCGAGGGACCACCUGUGGCGAAGGCGCCUCACCAGAACGGCUUCGACAGUGAGGGACGAAAGCUGGGGGAGCAAACCGGAUUAGAUACCCGGGUAGUCCCAGCCGUAAACGAUGUGCGUUAGGUGUAUCAACGACCACGAGUCGUUGAGGUGCCGAAGGGAAACCGUGAAACGUACCGCCUGGGAAGUACGGUCGCAAGGCUGAAACUUAAAGGAAUUGGCGGGGGAGCA
rnacentral:rRNA from 1 species